GAAGUACUCCCUCUGUCCCAAAAUUAUUGUCUUAGAUUUGUCUACAUACGAAUGUAUCAAGUCAUGUUUUAGUAUUAGAUACAUUCAUAUCUAGACAAAUCUAAGACAACAAUUUUGGGAUGGAGGGAGUACCAG
rnacentral:pre_miRNA from 1 species